UUCAUCCUAACGCUGCGUCCAUAGUCUUGGGAACGCCAGGUAGAAUAACAGGCAACCGGCUAUGCAAAUCCCGUGACCGCCAAAUAGACAGGCGUUCCACCAAAAGUUCAUGUUCGCGUUAUCGCUACCAGAAGCUGUAAAACAGGCGUUUGCAAGGCAAGUUUCCUGUCCCUGUUCCGCGCGCGUCUUCGCCCGCGCCUUCCCAUCUCCGCGCCUGGCCAUAUUAAUGAUCACAUUUUUGGCUGGAAAUAUUAAUGAUUGACGUUUUUUCCAUCGCACGCAUGAAGAAGGAUAUGUGCGGUACAUCAGUAUGCAUUUGACGAUUUUAACGUUCCCCGCAAGCUUCCGCAAACUGCCAUAAAACGCAUUCACCUAAACGUCAUCUCAACUUGUUGCACAAUGUCCUGUGAUGUGCCGACAUCCUAACGUGCUAUAGAACGGCAAGGGCUACGAUACACCACUUGAUCAUCUGUGCUCAUCUUCAACUGCGUCGGUUCUAGCUUCUUAAG
rnacentral:lncRNA from 1 species